rnacentral:misc_RNA from 1 species
AUAUAUCAACCUCUCCAGCUUUUGCUUGUUUGAGUGUUGGAUGUGGGGGGUUUUUGCUGGCCUUUCUGAGGUCAGCUCCCCUGAAAUUCAUUAGCGGAACAAUUUGUUAACCCGUUCAUUGGUGUGAUAACUAUCUACGCUAUUGAUGGAAAAACAGUUCAGCUUCUAAUAGUCCAUUCACUUGGACAAUUUUAUUAUUAUUAAU